rnacentral:rRNA from 1 species
GACGAACGCUGGCGGCGCGCUUAACACAUGCAAGUCGAGCGAUAACCAUGGCUUCGGCCAUGGGGAGAGCGGCGAACGGGUGAGUAACACGUGAGUGAUCUGCCCUCGACACCGGGAUAGCCCGGGGAAACCCGGAUUAAUACCGGAUGGCCUUUCGAGCCCAUGGGCGCGUCAGAAAAGAAGGCUGCGGCUUUCGGUCGAGGCGGAGCUUGCGGCGGAUUAGCUUGUUGGUGGGGUAACGGCUCACCAAGGCGACGAUCCGUAGCUGGUCUGAGAGGACGAUCAGCCACGCUGGGACUGGGACACGGCCCAGACUCCUACGGGAGGCAGCAGUGGGGAAUCUUGCGCAAUGGGCGAAAGCCUGACGCAGCGACGCCGCGUGAGGGAAGGAGGCCUUCGGGUUGUAAACCUCUUUCAGGAGGGACGAAGCCACUCGGGUUAAUAGCCCAGAGGGUGACGGUACCUCCAGAAGAAGCCCCGGCUAACUACGUGCCAGCCGCCGCAGUAACAC